rnacentral:lncRNA from 1 species
GGAAAAGUCGAGGUCGAGGAUUGUCUGGUCGGAGGGACUAAGGAUGCCGGCGUUGCUGAACAUGACGUCCAAUUGGCCAUAACCGUUGACCGUUGAAUCCACAAGCUCUUUCACUUGCUCUUCCUCUCCCACAUCACAAUGGACAUAGGUGCACCUGUAUUACAGAUCAAAUUAAUUCUCCUUUUGAGUUUAUCAUCAACUAUUUCACACAAUACAUUGCUAAUUCUUUUAUUAAUAAUUUUUAGUGAUUAAACUUUAAUUUAUUUGUUUGGUGGCAUCGCAGUAUGGAUCCUACAGAAUUUUGGCACGUACGAAAGCAGUUUGUUAUUAUCAAAGAAAUUAUGAUGACUGAUACUGUAAACAGAGAUGUGAAUAGAUUUGUCGACCACAAAGAUCUAAAUCAAUGAACAAGUGUAUAUUUGUGAUCCAGUUUCUCUUGCUUAAUGAGAAUAUGCAAGAAUUUGCUUUGUUGUACCUG